UACUAGUUUCAAAAUGAUAUCAACAUUGUCAUUCACAGAAUUAUUCUGAGGAUUUGGAUAAGUGAUCUUUAAAGGAGGUCAGAUCCCUUGGGAAGCCAGAUAAUAUUGAUUUAAAUAGUGGCAAAUAAAUAAUGGAAGAUCUGAGACCUAGCAGGUUAGUGUGGAUGUAUGGAUAAGUAUUGGGAGAGUGGGGUGUGGAUAGACUGGAUUCCACUGACUAGAAAUGAUUCAGGAAUAGCUUUAUUUUAUCCAGGAUAGUGCAAUUGGCCAAAGAACUGUAUUUGUAAUGAAGACUGUAUGAGGGUGAGGCAUCUAUAAGUAAAAACAUGAUUGCAUUAUUUAUGUUAUUACAUCAUUUCCCUGAAGGGAAGAAGAGGAAGGGAAUGUGUUUUCAUUUAUCCAAUACCUGUUGAACUCCUAUGAUAAGAUAUAUGCAGUACUAUGCUGGGUGACUGUGCCUAAGUUUUUGUCUGCUAGAAACUUAUACUUAAAAAAGGGCAGACAACGAGAUAAUAAAAACUAAGUCAAAUGAGAAAUGGUUAAAGAGACCAGGAAAGCUGAUUAUAAAGGACUUGCAAUAAUAAUGAUCAUCACAUAUUUAAUAGCCUGCCAUGUUUAGAACAUAAUUUAAGAUGGCAAAGCUAGGAUUAGUAGCUGAAGUUACUCUGGACCUCAAUGUUUUCACAUUUAAAAUGAAUACAUCAGUCUAAGUGAUUUUUAAGGUCUUUUCCACUCUAGAUUUAUGAUUAUAUAGUCCUGUGUAGAGGGCCGGAACUCUGGAAAAGUAUACUUGAAACAAGGUGUUAAUUGAGUGGAAUUGAUGAAAUGAUUGUUCUCUAGUUCACACAUACAUAGUAUGCUGUAAUGAUGUAAUCAUACCAAGGUAUUUAAGGGCUGAGAAGGACUGGAAAUGGGGCAUUCUAUCUUUGACCAUCCUGGUGGCUCUCCUUCCUUCCUCCACUAAGACCAAGGGACCAAAGGCUGAUCCCAAGAUCCUCCAGAAAGCUAGCCUGGACAUUACAGUCCUUUGUCACAUAUAAAAAUGAGUUUUCUGAACAUUAGACUUGUAUAAAAAUAAAAUGAGCUGUCUUACUGGGUAGUAGUAAGCUAUCACUGGAAUAUCUAAGAAGAGCUUGGAAAAGCAUUUGUGGGGAUAUUGUAGAUGAAGUUCAUAUAGUAUGAAAGGGGUUAUAUUAGGUGACCUAUAAGUUAAUUUCCAAUUCUAGAUUUCUAUGUUAACUAUUUUUUUUUUUUUUUUGGCCAGAUCUGUGAUUUCCUUAGCAUGGGGAAAUCUUCUGGUGAAGAAAUUCCUACUGCCAAUGAAAAUCAACAACAGCUAUAAAACCUAUUGUCUUUAUUUCCCUUUAUUAUCUGAAUUUCUCUGGAUAUGAUUAUAAGGUUCCAGAUGACAGAAUUCGGCCUUAUACAUUAAAGCAACCUCUAGCACAUCUAGCACAGUACUUUUACAUAGAAUACACUUAAUAGAAAUGUGUGCCCUUAAAGAAAUGCUUCUUAAAUUUUUUCCACUCAGAGCUCCUUUUCCCCUGAGAAAUUUUUAUGUGACUCCAAGCACAUAGGUAUAUAAAAAUACAAACAAAUCUUUACUGAAAAUAAAUCAUAAUAUCACAACCACCACAUUCAAUCACGAGAUCCUACAUGAGAUCAUGACCCUCAAUUUAAGAAGCUUUGACUUAGAGAAUCAUGUGGGGUACUGAAAGAUUAAGUGACAUAGCAAGUAGGUGCCAGAAAUAUUCUUGAAUAUUACCUAAGUCUUCUUGACUACAAAACUAACUCUCUGAGAGCCACUAUAACCUGCUGCCUCUUGCUUCCAUAUCAUACAUCAUGGUGAAUUCAUAAAUAGAGCAGUGUCUACUGGUGUGCAUCCCAAAGAGAUCAUUAAAAAAGGGGAAAGAACCCACAUGUGCAAAACUGUUUAUGGAAGCCUUUUUUGUUGUGGCAAGGAACUGAAAAUGGAACAGAUGCCCAUUGGUUGGAGAAUAAUUGAGUAAGUUACAGCAUAUGAAUGUUAUAGAAUAUUAUUGAUCUAUCAGAAAUGAUCAGUCAGAUGAUUUGAAGGCCGGGAGAGACUUAUAUGAAUCGAUGCUGAGUGAAGUGAAUAAAACCAAAAAAACAUAGUACACAUCAACAACAAGAUUAUGUGAUGAUUAACCGUGGUAUACUUGGCUCUUUUCAACAAAGAAGUGAUUCAGGCUAAUUCCAAUAGUCUUGGGAUGGAGAAAGCCAGCGGCAUCCAAAGAGAGGACUCUGGGAAAUGAAUGUGGAUCACAGAAUAGUAUUUUCACCUUUGUUGCUGUUGUUUGCUUGCUUGUUUUUUUUUUUUUUUCUUUUUCAUUCUUUUCCCUUUUUGAUCUGACUUUGCUUGUGCAGCAUGAUAAAUGUGGAAAUUAUGUUUAGAAGAAUUGUGCAUGUGUAAUCUGUAUUGAUUACUUGCUGUCUAAAAGAAGGGGAAAGUAGGAAGGGAGAAUAAUUUGGAACACGAGGUUUUGCAAUAGUAAGUGUUGAAAACUAUCUUUGCCUGUAUUUUGAAAAUGAAAAGCUAUUAUAAAAAAAAAAGUCAAUUAACCUCUCAUGACCCCAGUUUCCUCAUCUGUAAAGUGAUAGGAUGGGACUAGAUGACCUUUCAAGUAUCUCCCAACACUUUGUCUAGGAUCCUAGAACAGUAUAGUAGAAAGAGCACUGGAUUUAUAAUUAGAGGAUUUUGGUUUAUACCUUGACUCCAUGACUUAUACUUAUGUGAGGUUCAAUAAGUCAUUUAGUCAUGCUAGACCUCAUUUUUCCAUUUGUACAGUUAAGUAGUUACACUAGAUUUUCAACUAGAUUGUUGGUCUAAAUAAGACAUUUUUCAGUUUCAAAUUAUAGCUAGUCCCAAGACAUGGAAUUACCCUGACAUUCUUCAAAAAUAAAGUAUAAAAUUUGAAUGAUUAAAUGGCUUGACUCCUAGGGCAAUAAUUAACCAUUUGAUAUCAAUUUAGGAUUAAGUCCCCAAUGACGUCUCAAAGAUCUUUGCUUGGCCCUAUACUGCUGAACUAGUUUUUUUUUUUUUUUUUUUUUUAUCAAUAGUCUUGAAUUAAGGCACAGAUGAGAUGCUUAUUAAAUUUCCUGAUGCAGGGAAGACUUGUUAAUAUACUGAAUGAGUGUAUUAAAAGAUUCUAAAGAUUUUUAUGAGCAGAGAUAUUGGCAAAUCUAACAAGAUGAAAUAUAGUUAAGAUAAAUAUAAAAUCCUACAUUUGCUUUUAAAAAUCAUCUUCAUAAAUAAAUAAUGAGGCAGGCAUCAUUGAAAAGUAAUUAAAUCUAGGAAUUUUAGUGGAUUGAAAAUGCCAUAGGACUCACCAAAGUGAAAUGGCAACCAGGAGAGCUCAUGGGGUCUUAUAUUAAAAGAAAGAGCCAGAACCACAAGGUGAUGCUACCACACUGCUCUUUUCAUUCUCUAUUGGAAUACUAUGUUCAUCUCUGCUUUAUACAUUUUGGGGAAAAGCAUUAUUAUCAGAAUGCAAUUAGAAUAAGAGAAUAAGAAGGGAAGAAAUCCAUACCAGGUAACGAUCAAUUGAAUCAGUGAUAUUUAAUCUGGAGACAAAAGACCUGCUAGGAUAUGGGGAGGUAUAAGAUAUCUUCAAGUCUAUGAAGGGGUAUCAUGUGGAAAUUAGAUUAAUCUAGUUCCAUUUAGCACCAAAAGGCAGAAUCAAUAGAAGGCAAAAUGAGCUUUAGUGUAGGGAAAAUUUCCUUACAAUCAGCGUACCUCAAAAGUAGAAUGGGCUGUCUUAGCAAGUAGUGAUACACUGAACCCUAUAAGCAAUAGUUAGGUGAUCAAUAUGCUUCCAAGAGGCUUUUUGAUGUGUUGGACCAGAUGACUUCUGAGUUCCCUUUCAACUCUAUGAUUCUGAUUUCCAGUCUACCAAAUUUCUCUUUAGCAAUAAACAUUUUUGAAUUGUAGAUUGUUGUGGUUGUUCAGUUGUUUCAGUUUGUCUCGACUCUUUGUAGCUUCAUCUUGGCAAAGACAUUAUAGUGUUUUCCUAUUUUAUUCUCUAGCUCAUUUUAUAGAUAUGAAAAUUGAGGUAAACAAGGUUAAGGAACUUGGCCAGGAUCAUGUGGCUAAGUGUCUGAGGUUGGAUUUGAACUCAGAAAGAUGAGACUUCCUCACUCCAGGACAUAGCAACAUGUAACUUCCAUAGAAUAGUCACUUUUAAUCUGUAUAUAAAUUCUUAUAUGAGGGUUCUAAAAGAUUAUGCUUAGAAAAAUGUUAAGGCUGAUAAAUAGUGGAAAAUUCAACCAACGAUCACUUAUUAAGACCUAUUGUAUGCCAAGAACUGUGCUAAGUUCUGGGGACACAAAGAAAAGCAAAAGCCCUGCUCUCAAGGAUCCAAUGGUUAUAGUAAUGAACAUGUCAUGGAUAGCAAUAAUAACUGACAUUUAAAGCAGGGGUCCUCAAACUACGGCCUGUGAACCAGAUGCGGCAGCUGAGGAUGAUUAUCCCCCUCACGCAGGGCUAUGAAGUUUCUUUAUUUAAAGGCCCACAAGACAAAGUUUUUGUUUUUACUAUAGUCUGGCCCUCCAACAGUCUGAAGGACAGUGAACUGGCCCCUUAUUUAAAAAAUUUGAGGACCCCUGAUUUAUGAUGUAUAUAUAUGUAUAUAUAUAUACAUUUAUAUACCCAAGACUAAUAACAUUCUGAUAGAUUUUGUUAUCCCCAUUUUACAAGUAAAGAAUAAAGUGGAUAUACAGUAUAACUAGGUAGCACAAUGAAAAACGCCCUAAGGUUGAAAGUAGAAAGAUUCUUUUUCAAGAAUUCAUACCCAGUCUUCAAUUUUCAAUUAGCUACGUAACCCUGGACAUUUAACCCUGUUUGCCUUGGUUCCUCAUCUAUAAGAUGAACUAGAGAAUGAAAUAGCAACCCACUUUAGUAUUUCUGCCAAGAAAACCCCAAAUUGGAUCAUGAAGAGUUGGCUAUGACUGAAAAAUGACUUAGAAAUAACAAAAACCUCAAUCAUCUCCAGUUGAAACAUUAAGAGAUCUAUGUUUCUUAUUGGUUGGGAAGAGCUACAAACAUGACUCCCUUAUUUGUUGGCAAACAUGACUCUCCUAUUUGUUGGCUAAUAGAAUUAAUGAAUCAAUUCACAAAUAUUUAUUAAGCACCUAUUAUAUGCCAGGCACUGUUCUAGGUCCUAAGGAAUAUGAAAGCAAAAAUUAAAACAGCCUCUGCCUUCAAAGAUUAUAGGAUCACAACUAUAGAGCUGGAAAGUCCCUAAGAGGCUGGGUUAAACAAACCCCUUAUGCUGUGGCAGAGGGGCUAUGUGGUAUCCUAAGUGUUUUAUGACUUGGGGAAUAAAAUAGAAAAAACCAGAGAAGUUUAAUUUAUUAUUACAUCAACAGGAGCAUAUAUCCUGUUAAAAAGGAGAUAUAGAGGGGAUGAGUGAUUAGAACUGUUUGUCAAACUAUACACUUAAUGUGGAGGCAUCAUGGAGAGUAUUUGGCUAAGGACCAAGGAAAGGAGAAGGUUUAAUAUACUAUCACACUGAAGAAAAUCUUGACAGAUUGAAAUGAAGGCUCAAAACAAGAAGAUGAACUUUAACAGAGAUAAAUAUAAAGUCCUGCACUUAUAUUCCCAAAUCAAUUGCACAAAAAAUAGGAAAGCUCUACUUUGACAGCCGCUUAUGUGAACAAGGUCUUGGAGAUUUUAGCUGACUUCAAGCUUGAUAUGAGUUUGUACCAAUAUGACCUGCUUGCUAAAAAAGACAGUUAACACAUCUAAGUAUUGUGCCCAAGUCUGAGAACAGAAGACUCAUAUUCAUUCCAUGCAGGUCUGAUUCUACAUGGAGUACAUUUCCCAUUUUGAGCAGCAAUUUUUAAAAAUGUCAUUAACAUCUUUUGUUUGACAGUGCCUGCAUUUAACAAAUCCCUCUCUGCUACACUCCCCCCUCCCCCGCCCCCGCAUAGAGCCAUUUUAAAAGAAUUUUUAAAAGAAAACUUUAGAAAAAUUGACCAAAAAACAGAAAAAAUAGUAUUAUUAAGACAGGGCAAGUUGAGUAGUGUACAUUAAGAGGAAUAUUGAUAAACUAGAAGUGUGAAGACAGAGGCUGUGAUUGUUUUUUUUAAAGAUAUUAUGAAUGGGCUUCCUGCAUUGGGUUAGAGAUUGGGUUAGGAGACUAUAAGGUCCUUUAUAAUUCUAAGAGUAUAUGAUCAUACAAUCUCACAUUUUCUAACUAUUAGUAAUAAAUGCUCCCAAAAAAAAAAAAAAGGCAGGGAUACCGAGAUGAGUUGAUUUCUAUUCUAUGUCUCAUCAGCUCUCUAAAAGGGACCAGUGACAAAUCAUCUGACCAGUGUAUUCUGCUGAGUCAGUAUUCAGGGGGAUGGGCUGGUUAGGUGGGAGGGCAGUCAGGCAAGAAGAACUUUUCUAAUCAGAAUUGAAGGAAAUGUUCAAAUACACUGGCUGCCUUAGAGGCUUGAUCAAAUUUAGGGCUCUAGAUAUUGUGUCACAUGGGUCCACAAAGGCAUAGCCCUAUGAUAUCAGAGCCAACUGUUUUCCAGAAACCUUCCAUUGCCCCAAAUAGCACUGACAUCUGGAGUGGGAAAAAAAAAAAAACUAAAA